UUUCGGGUUCGACCCAUUGGGU
rnacentral:siRNA from 1 species